ACCGACGAGGGCGACUACAAGGUCAAGUUGCGCAACCUGACCCGCUUCCUGGAGCACGGCGACAAGGCCAAGGUGACCCUGCGUUUCCGCGGUCGCGAGAUGGCGCACCAGGACCUGGGCAAGCAGCUGUUGGAGCGCGUCGCCGGGGAUCUGGAAGAGAUCGGUACCGUGGAGCAGAUGCCGAAGAUGGAAGGUCGGCAGAUGGUCAUGGUUAUCGCGCCCCGCAAGAAGCAGUAGCGGGGCCGGGGGCGGUUCGCCGCCCCCUGGGGGUGUCCCGGGGUCCCGAAACCUGCCCGUAGCGGCAGU
rnacentral:misc_RNA from 1 species